ACAGCCCCGUACACAAAAAUGCACAUGCUGUGAGCUCGAUGAGUAGGGCGGGACACGUGGUAUCCUGUCUGAAUAUGGGGGGACCAUCCUCCAAGGCUAAAUACUCCUGACUGACCGAUAGUGAACCAGUACCGUGAGGGAAAGGCGAAAAGAACCCCGGCGAGGGGAGUGAAAAAGAACCUGAAACCGUGUACGUACAAGCAGUGGGAGCACGCUUAGGCGUGUGACUGCGUACCUUUUGUAUAAUGGGUCAGCGACUUAUAUUCUGUAGCAAGGUUAACCGAAUAGGGGAGCCGAAGGGAAACCGAGUCUUAACUGGGCGUUAAGUUGCAGGGUAUAGACCCGAAACCCGGUGAUCUAGCCAUGGGCAGGUUGAAGGUUGGGUAACACUAACUGGAGGACCGAACCGACUAAUGUUGAAAAAUUAGCGGAUGACUUGUGGCUGGGGGUGAAAGGCCAAUCAAACCGGGAGAUAGCUGGUUCUCCCCGAAAGCUAUUUAGGUAGCGCCUCGUGAAUUCAUCUCCGGGGGUAGAGCACUGUUUCGGCAAGGGGGUCAUCCCGACUUACCAACCCGAUGCAAACUGCGAAUACCGGAGAAUGUUAUCACGGGAGACACACGGCGGGUGCUAACGUCCGUCGUGAAGAGGGAAACAACCCAGACCGCCAGCUAAGGUCCCAAAGUCAUGGUUAAGUGGGAAACGAUGUGGGAAGGCCCAGACAGCCAGGAUGUUGGCUUAGAAGCAGCCAUCAUUUAAAGAAAGCGUAAUAGCUCACUGGUCGAGUCGGCCUGCGCGGAAGAUGUAACGGGGCUAAACCAUGCACCGAAGCUGCGGCAGCGACGCUUAUGCGUUGUUGGGUAGGGGAGCGUUCUGUAAGCCUGCGAAGGUGUGCUGUGAGGCAUGCUGGAGGUAUCAGAAGUGCGAAUGCUGACAUAAGUAACGAUAAAGCGGGUGAAAAGCCCGCUCGCCGGAAGACCAAGGGUUCCUGUCCAACGUUAAUCGGGGCAGGGUGAGUCGACCCCUAAGGCGAGGCCGAAAGGCGUAGUCGAUGGGAAACAGGUUAAUAUUCCUGUACUUGGUGUUACUGCGAAGGGGGGACGGAGAAGGCUAUGUUGGCCGGGCGACGGUUGUCCCGGUUUAAGCGUGUAGGCUGGU
rnacentral:rRNA from 1 species